rnacentral:rRNA from 1 species
GUUAUAUGGUCAAGUGAAGAAGCGCAUACGGUGGAUGCCUUGGCAGUCAGAGGCGAUGAAAGACGUGGUAGCCUGCGAAAAGCUUCGGGGAGUCGGCAAACAGACUUUGAUCCGGAGAUCUCUGAAUGGGGGAACCCACCUAGGAUAACCUAGGUAUCUUGUACUGAAUCCAUAGGUGCAAGAGGCGAACCAGGGGAACUGAAACAUCUAAGUACCCUGAGGAAAAGAAAUCAACCGAGAUUCCCUUAGUAGUGGCGAGCGAACGGGGAUUAGCCCUUAAGCUUCAUUGAUUUUAGCGGAACGCUCUGGAAAGUGCGGCCAUAGUGGGUGAUAGCCCCGUACGCGAAAGGAUCUUUGAAGUGAAAUCGAGUAGGACGGAGCACGAGAAACUUUGUCUGAACAUGGGGGGACCAUCCUCCAAGGCUAAAUACUACUGACUGACCGAUAGUGAACCAGUACCGUGAGGGAAAGGCGAAAAGAACCCCGGAGAGGGGAGUGAAAUAGAACCUGAAACCGUAUGCGUACAAGCAGUGGGAGCCUACUUAUUAGGUGACUGCGUACCUUUUGUAUAAUGGGUCAGCGACUUAUAUUCAGUGGCAAGCUUAACCGUAUAGGGUAGGCGUAGCGAAAGCGAGUCUUAAUAGGGCGUUUAGUCGCUGGGUAUAGACCCGAAACCGGGCGAUCUAUCCAUGAGCAGGUUGAAGGUUAGGUAACACUGACUGGAGGACCGAACCCACUCCCGUUGAAAAGGUAGGGGAUGACUUGUGGAUCGGAGUGAAAGGCUAAUCAAGCUCGGAGAUAGCUGGUUCUCCUCGAAAGCUAUUUAGGUAGCGCCUCAUGUAUCACUCUGGGGGGUAGAGCACUGUUUCGGCUAGGGGGUCAUCCCGACUUACCAAACCGAUGCAAACUCCGAAUACCCAGAAGUGCCGAGCAUGGGAGACACACGGCGGGUGCUAACGUCCGUCGUGAAAAGGGAAACAACCCAGACCGCCAGCUAAGGUCCCAAAGUUGUGGUUAAGUGGUAAACGAUGUGGGAAGGCUUAGACAGCUAGGAGGUUGGCUUAGAAGCAGCCAUCCUUUAAAGAAAGCGUAAUAGCUCACUAGUCGAGUCGGCCUGCGCGGAAGAUGUAACGGGGCUCAAACCACACACCGAAGCUGCGGGUGUCACGUAAGUGACGCGGUAGAGGAGCGUUCUGUAAGCCUGUGAAGGUGAGUUGAGAAGCUUGCUGGAGGUAUCAGAAGUGCGAAUGCUGACAUGAGUAACGACAAUGGGUGUGAAAAACACCCACGCCGAAAGACCAAGGGUUCCUGCGCAACGUUAAUCGACGCAGGGUUAGUCGGUUCCUAAGGCGAGGCUGAAAAGCGUAGUCGAUGGGAAACAGGUUAAUAUUCCUGUACUUCUGGUUACUGCGAUGGAGGGACGGAGAAGGCUAGGCCAGCUUGGCGUUGGUUGUCCAAGUUUAAGGUGGUAGGCUGAAAUCUUAGGUAAAUCCGGGGUUUCAAGGCCGAGAGCUGAUGACGAGUCGUCUUUUAGAUGACGAAGUGGUUGAUGCCAUGCUUCCAAGAAAAGCUUCUAAGCUUCAGGUAACCAGGAACCGUACCCCAAACCGACACAGGUGGUCGGGUAGAGAAUACCAAGGCGCUUGAGAGAACUCGGGUGAAGGAACUAGGCAAAAUGGCACCGUAACUUCGGGAGAAGGUGCGCCGGCUAGGGUGAAGGAUUUACUCCGUAAGCUCUGGCUGGUCGAAGAUACCAGGCCGCUGCGACUGUUUAUUAAAAACACAGCACUCUGCAAACACGAAAGUGGACGUAUAGGGUGUGACGCCUGCCCGGUGCCGGAAGGUUAAUUGAUGGGGUUAGCGCAAGCGAAGCUCUUGAUCGAAGCCCCGGUAAACGGCGGCCGUAACUAUAACGGUCCUAAGGUAGCGAAAUUCCUUGUCGGGUAAGUUCCGACCUGCACGAAUGGCGUAACGAUGGCGGCGCUGUCUCCACCCGAGACUCAGUGAAAUUGAAAUCGCUGUGAAGAUGCAGUGUAUCCGCGGCUAGACGGAAAGACCCCGUGAACCUUUACUGUAGCUUUGCACUGGACUUUGAGCCUGCUUGUGUAGGAUAGGUGGGAGGCUUUGAAGCGUGGACGCCAGUUCGCGUGGAGCCAUCCUUGAAAUACCACCCUGGCAUGCUUGAGGUUCUAACUCUGGUCCGUAAUCCGGAUCGAGGACAGUGUAUGGUGGGCAGUUUGACUGGGGCGGUCUCCUCCUAAAGAGUAACGGAGGAGUACGAAGGUGCGCUCAGACCGGUCGGAAAUCGGUCGCAGAGUAUAAAGGCAAAAGCGCGCUUGACUGCGAGACAGACACGUCGAGCAGGUACGAAAGUAGGUCUUAGUGAUCCGGUGGUUCUGUAUGGAAGGGCCAUCGCUCAACGGAUAAAAGGUACUCCGGGGAUAACAGGCUGAUACCGCCCAAGAGUUCAUAUCGACGGCGGUGUUUGGCACCUCGAUGUCGGCUCAUCACAUCCUGGGGCUGAAGCCGGUCCCAAGGGUAUGGCUGUUCGCCAUUUAAAGUGGUACGCGAGCUGGGUUUAGAACGUCGUGAGACAGUUCGGUCCCUAUCUGCCGUGGACGUUUGAGAUUUGAGAGGGGCUGCUCCUAGUACGAGAGGACCGGAGUGGACGAACCUCUGGUGUUCCGGUUGUCACGCCAGUGGCAUUGCCGGGUAGCUAUGUUCGGAAAAGAUAACCGCUGAAAGCAUCUAAGCGGGAAACUUGCCUCAAGAUGAGAUCUCACUGGGAACUUGAUUCCCCUGAAGGGCCGUCGAAGACUACGACGUUGAUAGGCUGGGUGUGUAAGCGUUGUGAGGCGUUGAGCUAACCAGUACUAAUUGCCCGUGAGGCUUGACCAUAUAACACCCAAACA